CUCUGUGACUUCUACGGGAGGCAGCAGUGGGAAUAUUGCACAAUGGGCGCAAGCCUGAUGCAGCAACGCCGCGUGAGCGAUGAAGGCCUUCGGGUCGUAAAGCUCUGUCCUCAAGGAAGAAUAAAUGACGGUACUUGAGGAGGAAGCCCCCGGCUAACUACGUGCCAGCAGCCGCGGUAAUACGUAGGGGCAAGCGUUAUCCGGAAUCACUGGGCGUAAAGGGUGCGUAGGCGGUUUUCAAGUCAGAAGUGAAAGGCUAUGGCUCAACCAUAGUAAGCUUUUGAAACUGUUAAACUUGAGUGCAGGAGAGGAAAGUGGAAUUCCUAGUGUAGAGGUGAAAUUCGUAGAUAUUAGGAGGAACACCAGUGGCGAAGGCGACUUUCUGGACUGUAACUGACGCUGAGGCACGAAAGCGUGGGGAGCGAACAGGAUUAGAUACCCUGGUAG
rnacentral:rRNA from 1 species